rnacentral:misc_RNA from 1 species
GAUGAAGAACGCAGCGAAAUGCGAUAAGUAGUGUGAAUUGCAGAAUUCCGUGAAUCAUCGAAUGUUUGAACGCACAUUGCGCCUUCUGGUAUUCCGGAAGGCAUGCCUGUUCGAGAGUCAUUAACAACCGUUUCGAUCCCUUUCUUUCAGAAAUUACAAAGAGGAAAAGGGUUUGGUUAUGGUGGAGGAGGGAAAGGGAGCGUUUAGCCUGUAAAAAAAGAGGCUGUGUUCCGCCUCCCCCCCAAAAUUGUACAGGCGGUCGUGUGCGCCCACGCAUCGAGGUGUUGUAAAAGCUGCCACGGCACUUUUCACCUGUGCAGUGCGAGAUUGGCCAGCCGGUUUAAAAACCCCUCCAAACAAUCAAAGGUUGACCUCGGAUCAGGUAGGGAUACCCGCUGAACUUAAGCAUAUCAAUAAGCGGAGGA